rnacentral:rRNA from 1 species
CCUACGGGAGGCAGCAGUAGGGAAUAUUGCUCAAUGGGGGAAACCCUGACGCAGCAACGCCGCGUGAAGGAUGAAGGUUUUCGGAUUGUAAACUCCUUUUGUGAGAGAAGAUAAUGACGGUAUCUAACGAGUAAGCACCAGCUAACUCUGUGCCAGCAGCCGCGGUAAUACGGGGGGUGCAAGCGUUACUCGGAAUUACUGGGCGUGAAGAGCGCGUAGGCGGGAUAGCAAGUCAGAUGUGAAAUCCUAUGGCUUAACCAUAGAACUGCAUUUGAAACUGUUAUUCUAGAGUAUGGGAGAGGUAGGUGGAAUUCUUGGUGUAGGGGUAAAAUCCGUAGAGAUCAAGAGGAAUACUCGUUGCGAAGGCGACCUGCUAGAACAUAACUGACGCUGAUGCGCGAAAGCGUGGGGAGCAAACAGGAUUAGAUACCCUAGUAGUC